rnacentral:rRNA from 1 species
GGAACUGGUGUAAUACUCGAUAAUGUCUACGGACCAAAGCCUUCGGGCGCCUUUGGAGCGAGGAACGUCCUAUCAGGUAGUUGGUGAGGUAAAGGCUCACNAAGCCAAAGACGGGUAGCGGGUGUGAGAGCAUGACCCGCAGUAUCGGGACUGAGACACUGCCCGGACUCCUACGGGAGGCUGCAGUAACGAAUAUUCCGCAAUGCGCGAAAGCGUGACGGAGCAAUGCCGCGUGUGGGAUGAAGCUCCUAGGAGUGUAAACCACUGUCAGAGUUUAGGAAAACAAUGACCAGACUCAAAGGAAGGGCC